UUAAGUGACUAAGCGUACAAGGUGGAUGCCUUGGCAAUCAGAGGCGACGAAGGACGUGCUAAUCUGCGAAAAGCUUGGAUGAGUCGAUAAGAGGCGUUUAAUCCAAGAUGUCCGAAUGGGGAAACCCAGUAGAUGAAGAAUCUACUAUCACUUACUGAAUCCAUAGGUAAGUGAGGCAAACCGGGAGAACUGAAACAUCUAAGUACCCCGAGGAAAAGAAAUCAACCGAGAUUUCGUUAGUAGCGGCGAGCGAACGCGAAGGAGCCUGUUAGUGAUAAUGACAGAGACAGAGGAACAAGCUGGGAAGCUUGGCGAUACAGGGUGAUAGCCCCGUACUCGAAGUCCAGGUCAUGGUACUAAGCUAACGAUAAGUAGGGCGGGACACGUGAUAUCCUGUUUGAAGAUGGGGGGACCAUCCUCCAAGGCUAAAUACUCCUGAUUGACCGAUAGUGAACCAGUACUGUGAAGGAAAGGCGAAAAGAACCCCGGUGAGGGGAGUGAAAUAGAACCUGAAACCUUGUACGUACAAGCAGUGGGAGCCCUUUAAGGGUGACUGCGUACCUUUUGUAUAAUGGGUCAGCGACUUAUAUUUUGUAGCGAGGUUAACCGAAUAGGGGAGCCGAAGGGAAACCGAGUCUUAACUGGGCGUCUAGUUGCAAGGUAUAGACCCGAAACCCGGUGAUCUAGCCAUGGGCAGGUUGAAGGUUGGGUAACACUAACUGGAGGACCGAACCGACUAAUGUUGAAAAAUUAGCGGAUGACUUGUGGCUGGGGGUGAAAGGCCAAUCAAACCGGGAGAUAGCUGGUUCUCCCCGAAAUCUAUUUAGGUAGAGCCUUGAGUGGACACCUUCGGGGGUAGAGCACUGUUUCGGCUAGGGGUCCAUCCCGGAUUACCAACCCGAUGCAAACUACGAAUACCGAAGAGUGAUACUCAGGAGACACACGGCGGGUGCUAACGUCCGUCGUGGAGAGGGAAACAACCCAGACCGCCAGCUAAGGUCCCAAAGUCUAUAUUAAGUGGGAAACGAAGUGGGAAGGCUUAGACAGCUAGGAUGUUGGCUUAGAAGCAGCCAUCAUUUAAAGAAAGCGUAAUAGCUCACUAGUCGAGUCGGCCUGCGCGGAAGAUGUAACGGGGCUCAAAUAUAGCACCGAAGCUGCGGCAUCAGACGAAAGUCUGUUGGGUAGGGGAGCGUUCUGUAAGCGGAUGAAGGUGGUUCGAGAGGGCUGCUGGACGUAUCAGAAGUGCGAAUGCUGACAUAAGUAACGAUAAAACGGGUGAAAAACCCGUUCGCCGGAAGACCAAGGGUUCCUGUCCAACGUUAAUCGGGGCAGGGUGAGUCGGCCCCUAAGGCGAGGCUGAAAAGCGUAGUCGAUGGGAAACGGGUUAAUAUUCCCGUACUUGGAUAAACUGCGAUGUGGGGACGGAGCAGGUUAGGUUAUCGCACUGUUGGAUAUGUGCGUUUAAGUUUGUAGGUGUGAAGUUUAGGCAAAUCCGGACUUCUUUAACACUGAGAGAUGAUGACGAGGCUCUACGGAGCUGAAGUAACCGAUACCACACUUCCAGGAAAAGCCACUAAGCUUCAGGUUUAUCUAAACCGUACUGAAAACCGACACAGGUGGUCAGGUAGAGAAUACUCAGGCGCUUGAGAGAACUCGGGUGAAGGAACUAGGCAAAAUAGCACCGUAACUUCGGGAGAAGGUGCGCCGGCGUAGAUUGUAGUCCCUUGCGGGCGAAGGUUGAACCGGUCGAAGAUACCAGCUGGCUGCAACUGUUUAUUAAAAACACAGCACUCUGCAAACACGAAAGUGGACGUAUAGGGUGUGAUGCCUGCCCGGUGCUGGAAGGUUAAUUGAUGGUGUAAUCGAAAGAGAAGCUCCUGAUCGAAGCCCCAGUAAACGGCGGCCGUAACUAUAACGGUCCUAAGGUAGCGAAAUUCCUUGUCGGGUAAGUUCCGACCUG
rnacentral:rRNA from 1 species